UGUAGCUCAAUGGUAGAGUGCCUGCUUAGCAUGCAUGAGGUUCUGGGUUCCAUUCCCAACA
rnacentral:tRNA from 1 species